CGUCUGGAAAGGCGCGCGAUACAGGGUGACAGCCCCGUACACAAAAAUGCACAUGCUGUGAGCUCGAUGAGUAGGGCGGGACACGUGGUAUCCUGUCUGAAUAUGGGGGGACCAUCCUCCAAGGCUAAAUACUCCUGACUGACCGAUAGUGAACCAGUACCGUGAGGGAAAGGCGAAAAGAACCCCGGCGAGGGGAGUGAAAAAGAACCUGAAACCGUGUACGUACAAGCAGUGGGAGCACGCUUAGGCGUGUGACUGCGUACCUUUUGUAUAAUGGGUCAGCGACUUAUAUUCUGUAGCAAGGUUAACCGAAUAGGGGAGCCGAAGGGAAACCGAGUCUUAACUGGGCGUUAAGUUGCAGGGUAUAGACCCGAAACCCGGUGAUCUAGCCAUGGGCAGGUUGAAGGUUGGGUAACACUAACUGGAGGACCGAACCGACUAAUGUUGAAAAAUUAGCGGAUGACUUGUGGCUGGGGGUGAAAGGCCAAUCAAACCGGGAGAUAGCUGGUUCUCCCCGAAAGCUAUUUAGGUAGCGCCUCGUGAACUCAUCUCCGGGGGUAGAGCACUGUUUCGGCAAGGGGGUCAUCCCGACUUACCAACCCGAUGCAAACUGCGAAUACCGGAGAAUGUUAUCACGGGAGACACACGGCGGGUGCUAACGUCCGUCGUGAAGAGGGAAACAACCCAGACCGCCAGCUAAGGUCCCAAAGUCAUGGUUAAGUGGGAAACGAUGUGGGAAGGCCCAGACAGCCAGGAUGUUGGCUUAGAAGCAGCCAUCAUUUAAAGAAAGCGUAAUAGCUCACUGGUCGAGUCGGCCUGCGCGGAAGAUGUAACGGGGCUAAACCAUGCACCGAAGCUGCGGCAGCGACGCUUAUGCGUUGUUGGGUAGGGGAGCGUUCUGUAAGCCUG
rnacentral:rRNA from 1 species